AACGAACGCUGGCGGCAUGCCUAACACAUGCAAGUCGAACGGGAUCCUAGCUUGCUAGGUGAGAGUGGCGGACGGGUGAGUAACACGUGGGAAUCUGCCUUUUGGUUCGGGAUAACCGCGGGAAACUGCGGCUAAUACCGAAUGCCCUCGAGAGAGGAAAGAUUUAUCGCCAGAAGAGGAGCCCGCGUCCGAUUAGGUAGUUGGUGGGGUAAAGGCCUACCAAGCCGACGAUCGGUAGCUGGUCUGAGAGGAUGAUCAGCCACACUGGGACUGAGAUACGGCCCAGACUCCUACGGGAGGCAGCAGUGGGGAAUAUUGGACAAUGGGGGCAACCCUGAUCCAGCAAUGCCGCGUGAGUGAUGAAGGCCUUAGGGUUGUAAAGCUCUUUUGCCAGGGAAGAUGAUGACUGUACCUGGAGAAUAAGCCCCGGCUAACUUCGUGCCAGCAGCCGCGGU
rnacentral:rRNA from 1 species